rnacentral:misc_RNA from 1 species
AAGUCGUAACAAGGUUUCCGUAGGUGAACCUGCGGAAGGAUCAUUAAAGAGUAAGGGUGCUCAGCGCCCGACCUCCAACCCUUUGUUGUUAAAACUACCUUGUUGCUUUGGCGGGACCGCUCGGUCUCGAGCCGCUGGGGAUUCGUCCCAGGCGAGCGCCCGCCAGAGUUAAACCAAACUCUCGUAUUAAACCAGUCGUCUGAGUAUAAAAUUUUAAUUAAAUUAAAA